CCUACGGGAGGCAGCAGCAAGGAAUUUUCCGCAAUGGGCGCAAGCCUGACGGAGCAACGCCGCGUGUGGGAUGACGCUUUUCGGAGUGUAAACCACUGUUCAUGGGGACGAAGCACUGACGGUACCCAUGGAGGAAGGCCCGGCUAACUACGUGCCAGCAGCCGCGGUAAUACGUAGGGGUCGAGCGUUGUCCGGAGUUACUGGGCGUAAAGCGCAUGCAGGCGGCUCAUUACGCAUGGCGUGAAAGCCCCCGGCUUAACCGGGGAGGGUCGUCGUGUACGGGUGAGCUUGAGGGUAUCAGGGGCUGGUGGAAUUCCCGGUGUAGUGGUGAAAUGCGUAGAGAUCGGGAGGAACACCUGUGGCGAAGGCGGCCAGCUGGGAUACACCUGACGCUGAGAUGCGAAGGCGUGGGGAGCGAACGGGAUUAGAUACCCUAGUAG
rnacentral:rRNA from 1 species